CAGUAGCCGCGGUAAUACAGAGGGUGCGAGCGUUAAUCGGAUUUACUGGGCGUAAAGCGUGCGUAGGCGGCUUCUUAAGUCGGAUGUGAAAUCCCUGAGCUUAACUUAGGAAUUGCAUUCGAUACUGGGAAGCUAGAGUAUGGGAGAGGAUGGUAGAAUUCCAGGUGUAGCGGUGAAAUGCGUAGAGAUCUGGAGGAAUACCGAUGGCGAAGGCAGCCAUCUGGCCUAAUACUGACGCUGAGGUACGAAAGCAUGGGGAGCAAAUAGGAUUAGAUACCCCCGUAGUCCCUGUCUCUUAUAU
rnacentral:rRNA from 1 species